rnacentral:rRNA from 1 species
AUUGAACGCUGGCGGCAGGCCUAACACAUGCAAGUCGAGCGGAUGAAGGGAGCUUGCUCCUGGAUUCAGCGGCGGACGGGUGAGUAAUGCCUAGGAAUCUGCCUGGUAGUGGGGGAUAACGUCCGGAAACGGGCGCUAAUACCGCAUACGUCCUGAGGGAGAAAGUGGGGGAUCUUCGGACCUCACGCUAUCAGAUGAGCCUAGGUCGGAUUAGCUAGUUGGUGGGGUAAAGGCCUACCAAGGCGACGAUCCGUAACUGGUCUGAGAGGAUGAUCAGUCACACUGGAACUGAGAAAAGGUCCCAACUCCUAACGGAGGCACGAUUGGGGAAUAUUCGACAAUGGGCGGAAGCCUGAUCCGGCCAUGCCGCGUGUGUGAAGAAGGUCUUCGGAUUGUAAAGCACUUUAAGUUGGGAGGAAGGGCAGUAAGUUAAUACCUUGCUGUUUUGACGUUACCAACAGAAUAAGCACCGGCUAACUUCGUG